GGGAAGGGUUGGGUUCCCUGUGCUUGCCAAAGAAGUCUGCUCCCCACCCAAACACAUCAAGCUCAAGACUGAUGCAUGUUGCAAAUAUUUGAAGGCAACAUUUGAAAGCAGACAAUACAGGAAAUUGGAAGACACUCAGUCUGUAUAUCUUUGCAAACAGAGAAGUCAGUAGCCAUGGAAGGGCAUCCUGAGGCUGUCAGUCAAAUGGCUGGAGGGACAAAAGGCCUGUGAAUUUGAAAUCUACUGGAUGCCCCAUGACAGGAACCCUGAAAUCUAAAGCCAUGAAUUAAAUAAGCGUCACAAAUAUUUCAAUUCUCAGCAGAAAAAGAAUCUUGCUGUUGAAGAGACUAUUAAUUCUUUCCAGGCCGUUUUGCUGAAGAGAAUACUGUAGCCUUGGCUAUUUCCCUAAGGGAUAUUUUGAACAAAAUCAAGCCAAGGCAGAGUGUCUGAAGGAGGGGUGGAAGAAUUCUAAUGACAAAUUUUUUUUGAUCUCCUUUUGCCCUGCAGCAGUUUGGAAACACACAAAGGAUUGUUUUGUAAUGUUCCAAAGACAUUGCACUCUUGGGAGCUAAUGCCCAGACACCCCCCUUUUAUGAAAAUUUUAUUUCUUUCGUAUUGAAAGUGUUGCAACUCAGGCUUUUCAAGCGUUUUCCCCUGUGCCCUGCUCUUUGAGUGUACAGCUGGAGAGAAGACUUGCUGCUGCUGUGGUGGUGAAAGUGAAUUGACUGGAAGCUUCUGCCAGGCCCAUCAGUUUAAUGUAGAAAGAUUCCUGUGGCAACAAAGAAGAGUGAGUCAAAGGAAAUUCGGUGCAGCAAGAAGCAGGGCAGGGGGAAAGUGUCUCUCCAGUGUGCUGGACAGAACACAGAGUCCUCCCCAAAAGGAAAGGUGCAGAGACAGCUACCUCACCAGCUGUUGCAGAAGAAGUCGGUGGUACUUAUGCUGUGACUGGUCUAUGAGCUACAUCCAGCAGUUGUCUCAUGUCCAUUUCAACACAGUCUUCUGGAUGCCAGAGAAGACAUCACCAGAACUAUGAAAGCCUCCUCUUGCAAGUGACACCAUCCAGUGCUGAUGGCAGAGAAGGAAUCAGAGCUCACCAAGAAGAGCUGCUGUCAAGUCUGCUAGCAUUUGAAGACCCAGAUCUCAAGAAGAUUAACAUUCCACAGUUCAUGGGAGAUAUCACUGACUCAUUUUGCCAUAGUGCUGUUGCACAAGCUGCACUAGUACCACUGAAUGUUACUCCAUGGAGGGCAUUGCCAUGCCUUCUCGUUUAGACAUGGCCAAAGUAGGCACCACUGGUCUGGAAACACUCUGUGUCUGAUAAAGCCACAGAACUGAGGCAGGAGAUCAGGGAAAAGGCCAGGCCAGGCUCUCCUGGUGGAUUUUCCAGCACUUAACGGAUGAGUGGAGCUGCUAUUGCUCUCCUAAUGUUGUUGAACCUCCUCCUCCACCAGAGAGGUUAAGUGACUUGAAUGAGCUGCACUCAGGCAUGCUGCAUAAAAACAGUUGGGGAUGAAUGGUGCAGACACUUGUGCAACUCAGUGUAUGACCACAUAGGCGUGGGAUGGCAUCACUGUUCUUAAAGUAAUUCAUGCAUCAUUCUCAUCCUUUGAAUUCCAUUCUCCUGCAGAAAUGUGUCUGCUGCACUGCUUGUGUAGAAUUGUCCUAUUUGUGCUGUGUGUGUGUGUGGCCAGUGGGCUACAAUGGCACCUCUGUGUAAACAGCAGCUGAAUUAACCUCAUUUCCCCUGAAGUAUGGUAGUGGGUAGUGAGUGUGCCCGUUUCCUUCUGCUUCAGCAUGUGUCUGGAAACUUGGGUCCAUAAUCCUUGAUGUUCUCCGCCUGAUUUUUGCUGCUCUGUUGGUGCAAAACAGCUGUAAAACAAGGUUAAGUGGCCAGCUGAGCGAGUUUUGUGACACCAGAGUGGCGCAAAGCAGUUAGGGCAUACUUGUGAAUCUGGCCCAUGGUUUCAUUGGUGUCCAGAAGAAGAAAAAAACUAUUGCAUGGGACCAACUUCCUUUUGCAAUCGCCGGGUCAGGUGGUCCUGGCAUUGAGCGUAACAGCUACAUUGUGAUUCUGUCCAUGGGGCCCAUGUAUCUGUCUGCCCAUGUUUGUAGAGUUCUCAUGCACCAAGGUUAGCUUUGUGGUUGUGACAGCAUCUGCGGAACAUGACCAAUGAGCUGGUUUAGAACAAGCCCCUCUGACACUGCAGCUGGGACUAGAUGCAGUGUUUGGAUCUGGAUUCCGAUUGGGAUUAGGUUUAGGGUAAAGUUCAGGGUUUGGGUUUGAGGCAGAUUUGGAUUUGCAACACUGAAAUCUCAUGAACUGUCCUUGCAGUAUUUCACCCCAAAUGGUAGAAAUGUUGCAAUAAGAGCUGAUUUAAGCCAACAGAAAUUUUGCUUGUGUCAGAACUGCAGGAUUAAGGCUGCUAUUUGCAAGCUUUUAUAACCCUCCACUGCCCCCAUAAAUCUUGCUGGACGUUGCAAAUUAAACUCAUCACAUUCCAUCUCCAAGUAAAUCAGUGUCCACUAAACUUUGUAAACAUUUCUACAUUUCUUUCAGCAUAGCCUAAUAGCUUAAAAAUAUUCAACAUUUGAAUGGUAUAUUUUUAAUAAUACUCUGUGACCAGAUGUAUUAAUUCAUAAAGGGCAUGAGAUAGCAACUCUUACAUGGAGUAAUUCCAUUGACCAAGAAACAUAUCUAAAUACUCAUGCUUCCUUUUAUUCCUCAGACAUAAGUGGCUUGUUUUAGAUGAUUUUUAUUAAUAAAUAAUAGAUCAGCCUU